rnacentral:miRNA from 1 species
GCCUUCCAGAUGUUUUGGGACUACAAUUCCCAUCGCCCCUGACCACUGGUCCUGUUAGCUAGGGAUCAUGGGAGUUGUAGUCCCAAAACAUCUGGAGGGC